UGCUGACUGCGCCAGAAUUCAAAGGGGAGCUGCCGGUGAAGGUUUCUUUCUGUUUAGAAGAUCACCGCGCCGUCGAAACUGGUGCAAGGUCUUUCCACCAGUGGAUGAAACUACCUAUGGUGAUAGAAGGCUUGUGGCAACGUUGACUCCUGCCUUUAUAACUUCGCUGGCGCGCACAAUGUAGCUGAUCGACAAGUGGCGUUGUUGCAGCGCGGUUGUCACAUUUUCUCCUUUUUUAUUAGGUAGGGCUCUGCUAAUAAACGCCUUUCUAAAUAAAUGUUGGUGCUGAGAUAACGGA